rnacentral:lncRNA from 1 species
AUGAUGGACUCUGAUUUCCACACCCCUUUCCUGUGAACUUGUCUCCAAUUUAGUCUGUCAAGGUCCCUUUCUUAUUCCAGGACCACUGAAACCAGCUGAGGCAUCCUGAAAGCCUAAGAUUGACCACACCAGAGGAACCAGACUGCCCUUCACAAGGGGAAGACUCCUGAACUUGCCUCACCCAAAGAUAUGAUGUACGCUUCAGACAAUGCUGGACUGAUGUGUUCAAUUAAACAAAUGCACCAAUAAAAUGCUGCAUGUAAAAAGAGUAAACUGCCAGGGUUGCUCUGCUGUAUCUAACCACA